rnacentral:rRNA from 1 species
UACGUAGGGUGCGAGCGUUGUCCGGAAUUAUUGGGCGUAAAGGGCUCGUAGGCGGUCUGUCACGUCGGGAGUGAAAACUCGGGGCUUAACUCCGAGCCUGCUUCUGAUACGGGCAGACUAGAGGUAUGCAGGGGAGAAUGGAAUUCCUGGUGUAGCGGUGAAAUGCGCAGAUAUCAGGAGGAACACCGGUGGCGAAGGCGGUUCUCUGGGCAUGACCUGACGCUGAGGAGCGAAAGCGUGGGGAGCGAACAGG